rnacentral:rRNA from 1 species
AUGAUUCACGCUCAACCUUUCGGUUUCAGUGUUCCGAGGCCAUAUCUGCAUAUGCUAGGCUCGUCAAGUUUAACCCGAGUAUUCUGCGUGUGCAAAACUGGCUUGCACCCGUUAUAUGUGAACGUACAGCUUAUCACACCCGAUCAUCACGUGGUGUCUCGGCACGACGAACUUUCGCAAUGGUGCAUACUCAGGGAGAACACUUGUACCUUUAAAUUUAGUGAGAGAUCAUCUUAUAAUGCUACUGUCGAACUAAGCAAAAUAAGAUGCAUAAAGGAUAAACAUCACAUGCAAUCAGUAUAA